UACGUAGGGGGCAAGCGUUGUCCGGAUUUAUUGGGCGUAAAGAGCUCGUAGGCGGUUUGGUAAGUCGGAUGUGAAAUUUCCAGGCUCAACCUGGAGGGGUCAUUCGAUACUGCCAUGACUAGAGUUCGGUAGGGGAGUGUGGAAUUCCUGGUGGAGCGGUGAAAUGCGCAGAGAUCAGGAGGAACACCCGUAGCGAAGGCGGCACUCUGGGCCGAUACUGACGCUGAGGAGCGAAAGCGUGGGGAGCGAACAGG
rnacentral:rRNA from 1 species